UACGGAGGGUGCAAGCGUUGUUCGGAAUUAUUGGGCGUAAAGGGCAGGUAGGUGGUCUUGAAAGUCUGCUGUGAAAUCCCCGGGCUUAACUCGGGAAGUGCGGCAGAUACUCCAAGACUAGAGUACUGGAGGGGUUCGUGGAAUUCCCGGUGUAGCGGUGAAAUGCGUAGAUAUCGGGCGGAACACCAGGGGCGCAGGCGGCUUCCUGGCAAGGCACUGACGCUGAGGCACGAAAGCGUGGGGAGCAAACGGG
rnacentral:rRNA from 1 species